GUUUGACCCCAGAAGUGUCAUCACUGUGCCAUCUUGCUACGUCAGAGCUGUCCCUCACGGAGCUGACCUCCCCCCGGCCUCCAGAGCACCUCCAUCUCUUCCAGGACUAGAACUCCUCCUAAUUUUCUGAUCAAAGCAAAAGAAUGCUGUUUGCUUUUCUUGUUUCUUUUUUUAAAAAUCAUGUUUAACAAAUUCUUAAGCUGGGGAAAGAAUACGAGGGAAUGCAUUGUUCAGAAAUAAACCUGGGCUUCUCAAGGCCUUCCAAGGACAAAGAUCUGAGGCCCAAACACAGAUUCCACACAAAAACUUCAACCAGAACCUUCAGCUGUGGCCACUGCUCCUUUGACCACACAGUGGCAAGAAUCUUUUGGAUUCUCAAUUCUGCCACCUGACAGCUCGUGUUCCCCCCUCAACCAUCCCCCCGGCCGACCAUCUCACGGGGUCGGAACCUGGGUGUGGAGCGGGGAGGUCCCCGGAGACUUAGGUGCUCUGCUCUGGAGUUUGGACCUUACACUGUAGCCAAUGGGAAUGGGCAACGGGCACUAGGCGGAGGGUCGGUGUGCAUUCUGGAGAUCUCUCUACUGUCGGAGGUGGGAAAAGCUGUGGGAGGCUCCUGCCAUGGUUCAGGUGAGAGAUGAUCCAUCGGCAAGACAAUGGAGGGAAGAGAAUCCAUCACAGAGACACGUCGGCUGCAGAACUGAUAGAGGCUGGAAGAAGGGAAGGUUAUCCCUGAGCUAACAUCUACCACAAAUCCUCCUCUUUUUGCUGAGGAAGACUGGCCCUGAGCUAACAUCUGUGCCCAUCUGCCUCUACUUUAUAUGUGGGAUGCUUGCCACAGCAUGGCUUGACAAGUGGUGCCAUGUCCGCACCCGGGAUCCGAACCAGCAAACCCAGGGGGCCACCGAAGCAGAACGUGUGAACUUAACCAUUACGCCACGGGGCUGGCCCCAACAAUUCUUUAAAAUAAUAAUAGCUAGGCAUUUACGGAGUCCUUUUCAUGUGGUAGGUGCUUCACAGGAGACUCCCAACAACGGGUGAAGGAGGAGCUACACCAGCCCACUUUACGGCUGAGGGGACCCAGGUGCCGGCGUGUUGAGGACUAUGCCCAGGUCCCCAGGGGAUUAAGCACAGAGCUGGCAUUGGAGUCCAAGCAGUCUCCAGAGUGGACAUCUUGGACCCCAAAUCUGCUGCCUCGGUUUCAAAAGUCUCCACACGUGGGGAGGACCCUUGUGUCUCCAAGAGGCGCUGGACCUACAGAAGAGGACAGAGAGGUGGGGGGACAGGCCUGGAAACAGUGCUGGCCAGGGUGGGCCGGAGUGACCUGCGUGCUUGCCGAAACCAAACACAGCCUCUGUGGGAGCGCAGGUGGAGGCAGCUGUCUCUGGAAUCUCCCAGGCGCAGGCCGGUCUUGUCAGCAGCUGCCCCCGUUUCACUCCGCCCCUGCGCCCUCCACUUGCUCCUUCUGUUCCAGCUUUGUCUCCAUCUCUUUACCCCAAGAUACCUGCAGGUGGGGCUCCUGAAUCCUUUCUCACAGUGUUCUCUCUCUGCCUGGCCUGCACCCCACCCUCAGCUCCAGUCCCCGGCCUCAGACUGCGGAGCGCAGGCCAUGCCAUGGCCCCUGGUCAGCCAGGGAAAACACAGGGCCCAGGAUUUCUGCACCUUUAGCUCUGGGUUGACCCUUCCCAAGCUCCAGGGCAUGGAGGAGAGUGGGAGGGGAGAGGAUCCUGCAAGUGAGAAGAAGGCAGGCCCUGCAGGAAGCCCUGUCUGCGCUGCCAGGGCUGGGAACAAGGGGAGCAUGGGGAUGUGUACUGACAUCGUGGGCAGUGUCGUGGGAACCUGCUGACGCUGCAGUUCAUGCCUCUGUGUGCAUGAGCAGUGACACGGAGAUGAUGCCAUUCUCCAGAUCGCCAGCAAGCCUGCACCACGCAGACAGGCUGGUCACGGCUGUUUGAAUUGCCAAGUUCCACAGGCAGGGGGUACAAGCUUUGCAGCGACCUACAAAAUGUUUGAGGCCUGAAAAAGAA
rnacentral:lncRNA from 1 species